rnacentral:lncRNA from 1 species
GAGAGUGUUUCUCCUUUCACCUCUUUCGUCUCGUCCUGCACCUCUCGCAUUUUUUGUAAUUCUUCCUGUACCCCUAUUCCCUACCCCUGUCAACCUAUUUAUUUUGUUUAAAAAACUUUGAAACUCUGCCGCAACUCACAUCACACCCUACAGCCCUUUUUUCAUUCUAUCUCUUCUCCGUCUUCCUCUCCUCUGGUGGUGUCGGUUGGUGUUGCUGCUGUAUUGUGUAUGAAUUUGUGUAUAUAUAUAUGAAGUGUUUACAUGGGAUGGGAUGGGUGUUGUGUGUCUGCAAAUGGAUCUGCUGGAGCUAAAUGGGAUCCAGGGUGGGUUGUGUAAGAGGGGGUGCCGAAUGUGCCGCAGGACGAACGGCGGAGGGGUAUUGUGAGUGAGAUCUGGAACCGCAACUGGGUUUGCGGUUAAAGCCCACCGUAGGUCGGUAUGCGGUUUGUCGUCGCCGCACAUGGACAUGCGGUUAACCUGUGCCGCAGGACGAACAUCGGAGGGGUAAUUUGUUUUAGGUAGUUUGUUAAUUUUUUAAGUAGAUAUAAUUUUAUAUAUCAUGUAUUAGUAAUGUAAUUUAUAUCAGUUAUUGUUUACGAAAUGAUAUCAGAUAAUUAUUUUUAAAUUUUUUAUAUUAUUUAUUAUGUAGAUAAAUUUAGAUAAUUUUUUUAAAUUUGUCGUAUUUAUUUAAGUAUUAUAAUAAGUAAUCUUUAUGUUCUUAUAUUUCAAAUUUUGUAUGUAUUAUUGUAAAUUAUAAAUUAUUUGCUUUUUUUUAUGUUAAUAUUUUUUAAUAAAUUAAUUUAGUUACUUAAAACUAUACUUUAAUUCAUAAUUUAUAAAUGCAAUAAAAAACUUAUCAAAAGUGUCAACUCGAACCUAACCGCAACAUAAAGUGCGGUUUGCCGCAAGACGAUGUGCGGCGGUAGCAUUAAUCGCAUGACGAAAUGCGGUUGCAGUUUUAUCUUAUCGUAACUCCAAAUGCGGCGAACAUAAUCGCCCCAUGAAAAGCGGUUGCAAAAGGAAUAUUGUUUAAACCGCAAAUCGAAAUUUGGAAAGCAGAGGUUGAGUUUGUUUCAUACUAACCUCGGUGGACGUUCUUCUUCAGCAACAAGCAAGCAAAGUAUCACCACUACUCUUCUUCUUCCUCCCACCAAGAAACAACCAAGAAAACCACUCUACUAUAUAAGAAGAACCAAGGGGUGCAUUUCUUGUCUUUGCAGGGCUGUCGGUAAUUAGGGAUGUAAUCAUUAAUUCUAAUUUGACUUUAAUUAAACUAGGGAAAAAUUUUGGAUCACAACCUGCGGAUCAAUCUAUGUCGUCACGGGUUCGGACUGGGUUGGUGUUGAAAAAAUUAUAUUUUUUUAUUAAAAUAUAAUUUUAUUUUAUUAAAAUUUAAUUUUAAUUUUAUAAAAAAAUAGUUAUUUUUUUUUUACUUGAAAAAAUUAUACAAAUCGGUCGACUUCUCAAUAAGCCGAUCCGUUAUGCAAAUGUUAAGAAUUAACAUUACAAAUUAAACAUAUUAAUAGGUAAAACACAUUUAUGAACUUUUGGGUCUGGUUGAGCUGUGUUUAGGUUAAACUAAUUAAAAACUUAUUCUGAAACCUAUAAAUACAGAAGUAAAGUAAGGAGGUAGGUGAUUUCGUGAAUUUAAGACUUUCUUGUAAUAAUGGAUUGAAACAUAUAACUGACUUAAGCGUCAUAAUGUCUUUGACAUGUACCCAAUGUUAGGAGUUCAAAGAGAAUUACUUUGUAAUGAAGGCUUAGAGUGUGAAUGAGUGUUAAUUAUGAUGCUCGACUCUACAAUAGAAACAACACAAUAAAUCUAAUCACAUAAUUUAAAAAACAUAAAUAUGUCCUCUCCUAUAAAUCUCGAUUUUUUUUUCUCUCCAUCAAAACAAUGUUAGUUAUGUUGGUUUUCAAAAUCCCUUAAAUUUUAUUAAGUGCCAUGUUUUUCAAAUUUGUUAAAAUCUUAAAUUAUUAUGUGUUUUAUUUUUGAACAUUAGGUUAAAACGGAUGUAGUGAUGGAUAGUUCUGCUAUCCGGGCGUGGCAGGAGGACAGUGACAAAAGAUGUUAUAAGCAUUAGAAGAAGAAAAAUGUUCGAACUGAAAUGGAGCGAAAUUGAUGAAAUGUUCAAAAGGAUGAAGCUGUGCAUUGGCAGAUGCAUUGUAUAAUGCAUAACUUUUGCAGUAACAUGAACCAGUUCAUUAAUCUUGUGAAGGAAAAUGGAGCUAAAUUAAUUCAUUACGUUCUUGGUUGCUUAAUCACGAAAAAAUC